AACACCUUAAUGGUGUUGAUUAAUAUCAUUUUUUAAUACCUCAAUGGUGUGAAUGUAUAUCAAUCCUGAACACCUUAAUGGUGUUGAUUAAUAUCAUUUUUUAAUCCCUCAAUGGUGUUAAUGUAUAUUAUUCCUUAAUACCUUAAGGGUUAAAUCAAGAACGAAAGUUAAAGGAUCGAAGACGAUCAGAUAGCGUCGUAGUCUUAACCAUAAACUAUGCCGACUAGGGAUUGGUGGCAGUUGAUUAUAUGACUCCAUCAGCACCUUAUGAGAAAUCAAAGUUUUUGGGUUCCGGGGGGAGUAUGAUCGCAAGGCUGAAACUUAAUGUUGUUAAUUU
rnacentral:ncRNA from 1 species